rnacentral:rRNA from 1 species
AUUGAACUCUGGCGUCAGGCCUAACACAUGCAAGUCGAACGAGCGGCGGACGGGUGCGUAAUGUUUGGUGAUCUGCCUGAUGGAGGGGGCUAACUACUGGAAACGGUGGCUACUACCGCAUACUAUCAGAUGUACCCUUAUGGGAUCAGCUAGUCGGUGGGGUAAAGGCUCACCUAGGCGACGAUCUCUAGCUGGACUGAGAGGAAGAUCAGCCACAAUGGGACUGAGAAAAGGCCCAGACGCCAACGGGAGGCAGAAGUGGGGAAGAUUGGACAAUGGGCGAAAGCCUGAUGCCGCCAUGCCGCGUGAAUGAAGAAGGCCUUCGGGGUGUAAAGUACUUUCAGCGGGGAGGCGUUACCAGCAGAAGAAGCACCGGCUAACUCCGUGCCAGCAGCCGCGGUAAUAC